rnacentral:rRNA from 1 species
UACGUAGGGUGCAAGCGUUGUCCGGAAUUAUUGGGCGUAAAGAGCUCGUAGGCGGUCUGUCGCGUCUGCUGUGAAAACUCAGGGCUUAACCCUGAGCUUGCAGUGGGUACGGGCAGACUAGAGUGCGGUAGGGGAGACUGGAAUUCCUGGUGUAGCGGUGAAAUGCGCAGAUAUCAGGAGGAACACCGGUGGCGAAGGCGGGUCUCUGGGCAGUAACUGACGCUGAAGAGCGAAAGCGUGGUGAGCGAACAGG